ACUGAGAAACCCGAAGGUCGAAGGGAGGAAUUCAUUCGCGUUUCGAAGUUGGCGUGGAGCGUUGUUGUGUGACGGGAAGCGUUCGCGUGUUUCCGCACCCUUCGUUCUUCGAUCUGACUGCGAUCGCGUGCACUUUCCUCCUGGUAGGACGUCGCGAUCCGUUGAGUGUUGGUCUACGGCUUGUGGUGGAGCCCGUUCAAUAGCGUUUCGGCGUUAAUGAACGAACCCACAUGUCCUGGCCAACUCGCUCGACGGUAUACGAAUGGUUUGAAGCCGCUCCUUGGAGCGUUCGACUCGCGGCAAGCGCGCCAGAUGUUUGUCGGAAACCGGACCUAGUGCCGAUUUCGACCUCUGGUGACUGUUGGCUUCGAAGUUCUCGGACAGACUGCUUCUAUAACCGAUCUGCGGCGCUAUAGCUUUGGGUACUUUCAGGACCCGUCUUGAAACACGGACCAAGGAGUCUAGCAUGUGCGCGAGUCAUUGGGAAUCACUAAACCUAAAGGCGCAAUGAAAGUAAAGGUCUUCCUUGCGGAGWCCGAGGGAAGACGAGCGGUUUACCGUUAAAAGUGGCCGUUCCGCACUCCCGGGGCGUAUCAUUCUCAUUACGAGAAGAUGCGCACCAAGAGCGUACACGCUGGGACCCGAAAGAUGGUGAACUAUGCCUGGUCAGGACGAAGUCAGGGGAAACCCUGAUGGAGGUCCGUAGCGAUUCUGACGUGCAAAUCGAUCGUCGGAACUGGGUAUAGCGGCGAAAGACUAAUCGAACCAUC
rnacentral:rRNA from 1 species